rnacentral:rRNA from 1 species
AUAACAGCUGGAAACGGCUGCUAAUACCGCAUAAGCGCACAGAGCUGCAUGGCUCGGUGUGAAAAACUCCGGUGGUAUGGGAUGGGCCCGCGUCUGAUUAGGCAGUCGGCGGGGUAACGGCCCACCAAACCGACGAUCAGUAGCCGGCCUGAGAGGGCGACCGGCCACAUUGGGACUGAGACACGGCCCAAACUCCUACGGGAGGCAGCAGUGGGGAAUAUUGCACAAUGGGGGAAACCCUGAUGCAGCGACGCCGCGUGAGCGAAGAAGUAUUUCGGUAUGUAAAGCUCUAUCAGCAGGGAAGAUAAUGACGGUACCUGACUAAGAAGCCCCGGCUAACUACGUGCCAGCAGCCGCGGUAAUACGUAGGGGGCAAGCGUUAUCCGGAUUUACUGGGUGUAAAGGGAGCGUAGACGGCAAGGCAAGUCUGAUGUGAAAACCCAGGGCUUAACCCUGGGACUGCAUUGGAAACUGUCUGGCUCGAGUGCCGGAGAGGUAAGCGGAAUUCCUAGUGUAGCGGUGAAAUGCGUAGAUAUUAGGAAGAACACCAGUGGCGAAGGCGGCUUACUGGACGGUAACUGACGUUGAGGCUCGAAAGCGUGGGGAGCAAACAGGAUUAGAUACCCUGGUAGUCCACGCCGU